GACAGAGGCCUCGAGCGUUAGGCGGAAUCACUGGGCUUAAAGCGUGUGUAGGCGGGCCGUUAAGUGUCUUGUGAAAUCCCCCGGCUCAACCGGGGAAUUGCUGGGCAUACUGGCGGUCUUGAGCAAUCUAGGGGCAGAUGGAACAAGUGGUGGAGCGGUGAAAUGCGUAGAUAUCACUUGGAACGCCAACGGUGAAGACAGUCUGCUGGGGAUUUGCUGACGCUGAGACACGAAAGCCAGGGGAGCGAACGGG
rnacentral:rRNA from 1 species